rfam:Candidatus Blackburnbacteria bacterium RIFCSPLOWO2_01_FTLL_41_27 rifcsplowo2_01_scaffold_22893, whole genome shotgun sequence.
GCUGGGGUGGUGGAAUCGGCAGACACGUCAGCCUUAAGAGCUGAUGAGACGGUUGUCUCGUGUGGGUUCAAGUCCCGCCCUCAGCA